UAACUGAUCUCAGAGUGAGGAUGG
rnacentral:piRNA from 1 species